AGCGGCGCCGAGGUUGACCUGGAAGGGCACGUCAUAGAGGGUGAGAGCCCCGUGCGCGGCCUCGCGAACCUGGGCUACGGUGGCCGUCGAAGAGUCGGGUUGUUUGGGAAUGCAGCCCAAAUGCGGUGGUAAACUCCACCUAAAGCUAAAUACUGGCGCGAGACCGAUAGCGAACAAGUACCAUGAGGGAAAGGUGAAAAGCACUUUGAAAAGAGAGUCAAAGAGACCGCGAAACCGUUGGGAGGGAAACGAACGUGGCCGUGAAGACUCCCUUCGGGUUCAGGGAGCUCGGGUUUGGGGCGUUGCGAGGUGAGAGACUCGUACGGGCUCCGCCGCUGCAAGUCCCUCCGGGCUUCCGCAAUCCCGUCUGGAGUCCGCCAACGGCGGGCGUUCGCGGUCGAAGAGGGCUGGGGGGAGGUGCCUCCUCGUCGCUUCGCGUCGAGGAGAACGUACAGCCUCCGGUCCGGCGGGACCGCGAACGGCCGAGGAGAGUUGCGACCUGUCGCACGGCGUAGCGCAGGCUCCGCAGGGGCCGGGUCGCUCCUGUUCUUGCGUGCUCCGCGUCGAGCCACUGCCCGCAGUGACCGGCGACGGCUCAGUGCGCUUGGGUGGGGGACGGACCACGAUUUGCGCUUCGGUCGUUGGCGUGCGUACGGCUCCGUCCGACCCGUCUUGAAACACGGACCAAGGAGUGCAAGAGGCGUGCGAGUCUUUGGGCCGGAAAACCCUCUGGCGCAAUGAAAGUGAAGGGGGCCUUGUGUCCCUGGGGCGGGAGCCCGCUUGGCGGGCGCACCGUCGACCGAUCCCAGGCUACGCUGUGGUGGGAUUCGAGUGAGAGCGUGCCUGUUGCGACCCGAAAGAUGGUGAACUAUGCCUGAAUAGGGCGAAGCCAGAGGAAACUCUGGUGGAAGCUCGCAGCGGUUCUGACGUGCAAAUCGAUCGUCAAAUUUGGGUAUAGGGGCGAAAGACUAAUCGAACC
rnacentral:rRNA from 1 species